CCAACGUGGACACCCUGUGAGUUGGCUCUCAUAUGGCUCUGUCUGUGUGGCGUAUGGGAGCGUAGCACUCCGGUGCCAUGACGUACAGUCCCGUUCCAUGCCGUUGGAGAGCAAGCGCGUCCCCCGGCUCUUAGCUGGUGUGGACGGCGUCCUGUAUAUUCCUAGGUCUUCUCGGAGCCCUGCUGGGCCGUUACUGGGGAGGUAAACCAUGCAGUGCACAAUA